rnacentral:misc_RNA from 1 species
CCAAUAGCGUAUAUUAAAGUUGUUGCAGUUAAAAAGCUCGUAGUUGAAUUUCGGGACCAAUCUGCCGGUCGUGCCUCCGGUACGCACUGGUUUUAUUGGUUUCUCCCUUCUGACGAACCAUGAUGUCAUUAAUUUGGUGUCAUGGGGAAUCAGGACUGUUACUUUGAAAAAAUUAGAGUGUUUAUAGCAGGCUCACGCUUGAAUACAUUAGCAUGGAAUAAUGAAAUAGGACGUUUGACCCUAUUUUGUUGGUUUCUAGGAUCGACGUAAUGAUUAAUAGGGAUAGUUGGGGGCAUUAGUAUUCAAUUGUCAGAGGUGAAAUUCUUGGAUUUAUUGAAGACUAACUACUGCGAAAGCAUUUGCCAAGGAUGUUUUCAUUAAUCAAGAACGAAAGUUAGGGGAUCGAAGACGAUCAGAUACCGUCGUAGUCUUAACCAUAAACUAUGCCGACUAGGGAUCGGAUGAUGUUCUUUCUUAGACGGGGCCGGCAGCUUCUG